rnacentral:lncRNA from 10 species
CAGUACCUGACACAAGGAAUUCAAUCAAUCAAUAAUGAAUGAAUGAAUGAUAGAAAAGUGGGGAGCAAAAGAGGAAAUACCUAAACUGCUCUAAAAUCAAGUCUCAAAAAUUAAAAAAAAUUGGAAACAGCAAUGACGGUGUGGAGAAACACCAAAAGACAUAAAAGAAAGGAAAAUCAGGGAGUGAACUCCUCCUGUUCCCAGUCCGUGGCCUUUGAGUGAGCUCCCAUCCCUGGCUCCUAGGACGGGACAGCUAACACAGAGCUCCGAGUCAAGCAGACACAGUGGGUGCCAUCCUGACACCUCAAGGGAACAGCACAUCUGGGAAAAGUGUCUAAUAGAGAAGAGGAGUCAAGAGAAGAAGGGGGAGAAUCACAGCCCUGAGGACACCAUCUAUGUUCUGGAAUUCUACCAUGCUUAAAGAGGAGGAAGCUAAGGCACAGAGAAGUUAAUGUGCUCAAGACUAUACCACUGGUGAGAGGCAAAGCAAAGAUUUAAACCCACCUUGAGUUCAGAGUCUUCCCUCUUCUUAAUAACUAAACUGCACCAUAAUUUGAAAGACACAGAAACCACACAUUCAAAAUAAUGCUAACCUGUCAAGUUAUUGAUCUGCACUGUACAUAUUUCCUGGUCAUAGGCAGCUUCCACACAAGAACAUCUGGAUGCAAAUUAAAGAAUUCAAUUACUCAAGCCUAAGUGAUAGAGGAGACCUCGGCUACUCUGCCUGAGCACAUCACUGCUGGAUCUCAAAAUCUGCAAGAACUUCCUAGGGCUUCAGGAACUUUCAUGUGCAUACCAGUCACCUGGGAAUCUUGUUACGAUGCAUAUUCUUUUUCAGUAAGCCCAAAUUCUGCAAUUCUUAUAAGGUCUUAGGGGACAUGAUGUUUGCUUCUAGUGGUCCAUGGUCUACUCCUGAAGGUCCACCAUGCCCAGCUUCAUCUCCCCACCCUCUGGAAACUCUCCUGUACCCAAGCCACUUGCUCUCUUCUAAAUAGGCAUUGUGUUCCCAUGUUCCCAUGUGUCUGCCUCUUUCAACUUCUCCUCUAAAAAUUCUCCAUGACCCCCAAGCAUAAGCCUCCAGCAGCAAGCUCAAAAAUGCUUUCUACUCUGUUGUGUUGCCCGGCCCACUUCAAGAGUAGAUGCUCAAUUCCUUCUUCCCCUAGUCGUAUUUGCUGCUACUUUUGCAGGCUGCUGGAACACUUUCACUCUGAGGAUUCUGAUGAACACAGUUCUUGCCCUCUUCACUUUUCCAAUCUGGUUGCAGGCACAGCGGGGGACAGCAGGAGUGCAACACAGUAACUUAAUAUAAUAUGGAGCUGCUAUUAUGGAGGGAAACAUUCACUGCUCUGAAAGGACUCAACAGCUGAGUCUUAAAGAAGGAUUUUACAAGAUUGACAAAGAAAUGGGUUAUCUCCAGAUAGGAAGGAAAAAUCACAAGGAAUAGUACAGCAAGGAAAGAGGAAACAGCACUGGACUUGGGGAAAAGGGAAAUCCUUGAGAUGUUGCUAAGGCAUAAAGAGCAAGACAGAGAGUGUCAGAAGAUGACACUGACGUCACCUGACUCCUGCUGCUGAGCUUCUCUGACAUUUUCUCAAGGGCUCAAGGCUUGGAUACCCUCUGAUAUGGUUUAUCUGUGUCCCCGCCCAAAUCUCACCUUGGUUUGUAAUCAUCUCCAUGUGUCAAGAAUGGGACCAGGUGGAGAUAAUUGAAUCAUGGGGGCAGUUUCCCACAUACUGUUCACAUGGUAGUAAAUAAGUCUCAUGAGCUCUGAUGGUUUUAUAAAUGGGAGUUCCCCUGCACAGGCUCUUUUUGCCUGCCACCAUGGAAGACACCCCUUUGCCCUUCCUUUAUUUUCUGCCACAAUUGUGAGGCCUCCCUAGCUAUGUGGAAUUGUGAGUGCAUUAAACCUCUUUCCUUUACAAAAUUACCCAGUCUUGGGCAUGUCUUUAUUAGCAGCAUGAGGACAGACUAAUACACCCUCUUUCAAUACCUAAAAUAGACAAAGCCCUAUUUGGAAUUUUGGAAAAACACAAUCUAGUCUCCGAAGGUAGGCACAGAAGCUCUGAGCUGACACAAUAUUGAAGUCGUUACUUGCCUGGUCCUUAGGCAUUUCCUAGUCCACAAUCACACAUCCA